UCUCCUUCCCUGGGAACUUGGAUCUGGACAGACAGAAUGAGUUGUUGACAGUGAGGUUCAUUUGAGGGGAGAGGGAAAUAUUUACUGCUGCCUAUUGAUGAUGGUCAGAUAACAAAUAGAAAGGUAUAGAAAAUAGCAAAGUAGAAACCUAGUCUCAGCUGGGGGCAGUGGCUCAUGCUUGUAGGCCCAUCACUUUGGGAGGUCAAGGCCAGUGGAUCACUUGAGACAAGGAGUUUGAGACCAGCCCAGACAACAUGGCAAAACCCUGUCUUGACAAGAUACAUAAAAGCUAGCAAGGUAUGGUCGCAUGUACCUAUAGUCCUAGCUACUUGGGAAGCUGAGGUGGGAGGAUCAAUUGAGCCUGGGAAGGGUCAAGGUUACAGUGAGCUGUGGUCACAGCACCUGCACUCCAGCCUGGCCCAACCCUGUCACACAUACACAAAAACACCCACCUUAUUAUCUAUAAUUAACAACUGCUAACAUUUGCAUCAAGUUAUUUUUCAGCAUAACAAAAAGUAUAGAUUAUUGUAUAGGUCCAUUUCUCUUUCCCAAAUCAGCUACUCUGAGGUGUUUAAAAUCUCUCAUGAGGCUGAGUGUAGUGAGCUCAUGCCUGUAAGUCCCAGCUACUUGGGAGGCCAAGGCAGGAGGAUAACUUCAGCCCAGGAGUUUCAGGCUACAGUGAGCUGAGAUUGUGCCACUGGACUCCAGUCUGAGCGACAGAGUGAGGCUGUCUCAAAAAACAAAAAAACCUCAUGAAUAGAGCUGAGCAUGGUGGUACACAACUGUAGUCCCAGAUACUCAGGAGGCUGAGGUGCACUAUGAUUGAACUUGCGAACGACCACUGUGCUUCAGCCUGGGAAUCAUAGUGAGACCAUCUAUUGAGAAACAAAUGUUUUGUGAAUAAAUACAUUAUUGUUUUGUUA